rnacentral:rRNA from 1 species
CCUACGGGUGGCAGCAGUGGGGGAUAUUGCACAAUGGGGGGAACCCUGAUGCAGCGACGCCGCGUGGGUGAAGGAGCGUUUCGGCGCGUAAAGCCCUAUCAGCAGGGAAGAAGAUGACGGUACCUGACCAAGAAGCCCCGGCUAACUACGUGCCAGCAGCCGCGGUAAUACGUAGGGGGCAAGCGUUAUCCGGAUUUACUGGGUGUAAAGGGGGCGCAGACGGCAAUGCAAGCCUGGAGUGAAAGCCCGGGGCCCAACCCCGGGACUGCUUUGGAAACUGUAUGGCUGGAGUACAGGAGGGGCAGGCGGAAUUCCUAGUGUAGCGGUGAAAUGCGUAGAUAUUAGGAGGAACACCAGUGGCGAAGGCGGCUUACUGGACUGUAACUGACGUUGAGGCUCGAAGGCGUGGGGAGCAAACAGGAUUAGAUACCCGGGUAGUC